AGAGUUUGAUCCUGGCUCAGAAUGAACGCUGGCGGCAUGCCUAACACAUGCAAGUCGAACGAGAUCUUCGGAUCUAGUGGCGCACGGGUGAGUAACGCGUGGGAACCUACCUUUUAGUAUGGGACAACGUUUGGAAACGAACGCUAAUACCGUAUACGCCCUCCGGGGGAAAGGUCAGCCGCUAAAAGAGGGGCCCGCGUCUGAUUAGCUUGUUGGUAAGGUAAUGGCUUACCAAGGCUACGAUCAGUAGCUGGUCUGAGAGGAUGAUCAGCCACACUGGGACUGAGACACGGCCCAGACUCCUACGGGAGGCAGCAGUGGGGAAUAUUGGACAAGGGAGGCAACUCUGAUCCAGCAAUGCCGCGUGUGUGAUGAAGGCCCUAGGGUUGUAAAGCACUUUCAACGGUGAAGAUGAUGACGGUAGCCGUAGAAGAAGCCCCGGCUAACUUCGUGCCAGCAGCCGCGGUAAUACGAAGGGGGCGAGCGUUAUUCGGAAUUAUUGGGCGUAAAGGGCUCGCAGGCUGCUUGAACAGUUAGACGUGAAAUCCCCGGCUCAACCUGGGAACUGCGUUUAAUACUAGC
rnacentral:rRNA from 1 species